UACGUAGGGUGCAAGCGUUUGUCCGGAAUUAUUGGGCGUAAAGAGCUCGUAGGCGGUUUGUUGCGUCGGCUGUGAAAUCCCGAGGCUCAACCUCGGGUCUGCAGUCGAUACGAGCAAACUAGAGUGUUGCAGGGGAGACUGGAAUUCCUGGUGUAGCGGUGAAAUGCGCAGAUAUCAGGAGGAACACCGGUGGCGAAGGCGGGUCUCUGGGGCAACAACUGACGCUGAGGAGCGAAAGCGUGGGGAGCGAACAGG
rnacentral:rRNA from 1 species